ACACAAGUUACCUAUGGUAAUUUUAUUUCGGUGGUAGCACUUGCAUCUUUCUACAUACACUAACCUACAGCAUAUUGAGCAUAAUGUUGUACAGCUAUGACUACUAUACAAAGCUGGCGCAUUUUAUCCAUAUGGAACGAAAUAGACCAAAACAACCCAGUGCUUUAACAUGCAGGCUCAUCUUUAACUAUACAAACUUUUCAUAUAUAAACUUAUAGCCAGUAAAUAUCAUCAUUAAAUGUUGUAUUGCUCUAUCAUUGCAUCAGCAGAAGAUUAUUCACAGUGGCAUUCACAUUAUUCGUUCUCAUCAGGUCCUGCAACAAGGUUGAAAAGGAAAAAACAUUAGUGCAUACUAGCGUCUAGAGAAAUUACAACAAGAGGCUAGCAAAAACAGAAACGUACUUCAAUAAUUAGCUCGUCAGGCAUAUGGGGUAAAACUUCCCGUACUCUAUCUACCAUGGUAUUAACCCGCGACAUGCUUCCAUUAAUUGUUCCUGCCGUGCCUCGGAACCGCAAGCUAGCAGAAGCCACAUCAGGCCUCGAGGAAGAUGAUGGAACAAUUGAAGGGCCUGCCAUUGACUCAGGCCACAGAUUCCAGGUGGCAUCUGCAUGCCCAUAAUUAUCAGUCACAG
rnacentral:lncRNA from 1 species